UUAAGUUCAGCGGGUAGUCCUACCUGAUUUGAGAUCAAAUGUUCAAAGAGCUGUCCUCACUGAGGAGAGACACGUUUAUGAGCCCCAGCGAACCUUCAUCACUGAAGGUUACCUGGUGGAAAACCACAAGCGUAGAUAGUUAUCACACCCGUGAUGCCACCAAACACUGGCAAGCUGAUUCAUUUGAGGGGAGCCGAACA
rnacentral:misc_RNA from 1 species